CCUACGGGAGGCAGCAGUGGGGAAUAUUGCACAAUGGGGGAAACCCUGAUGCAGCAACGCCGCGUGAGUGAAGAAGUAUUUCGGUAUGUAAAGCUCUAUCAGCAGGGAAGAAAAUGACAGUACCUGACUAAGAAGCCCCGGCUAACUACGUGCCAGCAGCCGCGGGAAUACGUAGGGGGCAAGCGUUAUCCGGAUUUACUGGGUGUAAAGGGAGCGUAGACGGCUGCGCAAGUCAGAAGGGAAAGCCCGGGGCUCAACCGCGGGACUGCUUUUGAAACUGUGUAGCUAGAGUGCAGGAGAGGUAAGUGGAAUUCCUAGUGUAGCGGUGAAAUGCGUAGAUAUUAGGAGGAACACCGGUGGCGAAGGCGGCUUACUGGACUGUAACUGACGUUGAGGCUCGAAAGCGUGGGGAGCAAACAGGAUUAGAUACCCGGGUAGUC
rnacentral:rRNA from 1 species